GAUGAACGCUGGCGGCGUGCUUAACACAUGCAAGUCGAACGGAAAGGCCUCUGCUUGCAGGGGUACUCGAGUGGCGAACGGGUGAGUAACACGUGGGUGAUCUGCCCUGCACUUCGGGAUAAGCCUGGGAAACUGGGUCUAAUACCGGAUAGGACAAUGGUUUGGAUGCUGUUGUGGAAAGCUUUUCGGUGUGGGAUGAGCUCGCGGCCUAUCAGCUUGUUGGUGGGGUAAUGGCCUACCAAGGCGUCGACGGGUAGCCGGCCUGAGAGGGUGUACGGCCACAUUGGGACUGAGAUACGGCCCAGACUCCUACGGGAGGCAGCAGUGGGGAAUAUUGCACAAUAGGCGCAAGCCUGAUGCAGCGACGCCGCGUGGGGGAUGACGGCCUUCGGGUUGUAAACACCUUUCGCUAGGGACGAAGCGUUUUUGUGACGGUACCUGGAGAAGAAGCACCGGCUAACUACGUG
rnacentral:rRNA from 1 species